rnacentral:rRNA from 1 species
AUGAAUAAAAAAGGAACAGUUCGAGUAGUAUCUACAAAUAUUACCGAAAACAUUGUUAAAAUACUUCUACGAGAGGGUUUUAUUGAAAGUGUUCGGAAACAUCAGGAACGUAACAGAUAUUUCUUGGUUUCAACUUUGCGACAUCAAAAGAGAAAGACUAGAAAAGGAAUAUAUAGAACAAGAACCUUUUUAAAGCGUAUCAGCCGACCCGGCUUACGAAUUUAUACCAACUAUCAAGGAAUUCCUAAAGUUUUGGGUGGAAUGGGAAUUGCUAUUCUUUCUACUUCUCGAGGAAUAAUGACAGAUCGAGAAGCUCGACUAAACAGAAUUGGGGGAGAAGUCUUAUGUUAUAUAUGGUAA